rnacentral:rRNA from 1 species
UACAGAGGGGGCCAGCGUUAUUCGGAAUUAUUGGGCGUAAAGGGCGCGUAGGCGGCUUUUCAAGUGACGGGUGAAAUCCCUCGGCUUAACCGAGGAACUGCCAGUCAGACUGGAAGGCUUGAGACCGGGAGAGGUGAGUGGAAUUCCCAGUGUAGCGGUGAAAUGCGUAGAUAUUGGGAGGAACACCAGUGGCGAAGGCGGCUCACUGGACCGGAACUGACGCUGAGGCGCGAAAGCGUGGGGAGCAAACAGG